UUGACCUCGAAUCAGGUAGGACUACCCGCUGAACUUAAGCAUAUCAAUAAGCGGAGGAAAAGAAA
rnacentral:rRNA from 1 species